rnacentral:rRNA from 1 species
CCUACGGGAGGCAGCAGUGGGGAAUAUUGCGCAAUGGGCGCAAGCCUGACGCAGCGACGCCGCGUGAGGGAUGAAGGUCUUCGGAUCGUAAAACUCUGUCAGCAGGGAAGAACGGUCAUUCUGCUAAUCAGCCGCGCAUUGACGGUACCUGCAAAGGAAGCACCGGCUAACUCCGUGCCAGCAGCCGCGGUAAUACGGAGGGGGCGGGCGUUAAUCGGAAUUACUGGGCGUAAAGCGCUCGUAGGCGGUAUGGUAAGUCAAGGGUGAAAUCCCUGGGCUCAACGUGGGAACUGCCGUUGAAACUGGCAGACUGGAGUGUGUAAGAGGAUAGUGGAAUUCCAGGUGUAGGGGUGAAAUCCGUAGAUAUCUGGAAGAACAUCAGUGGCGAAGGCGACUGGCUGGGACGUAACUGACGCUGAGGAGCGAAAGCGUGGGUAGCAAACAGGAUUAGAUACCCGAGUAGUC